CACGUAGGGCGCAAGCGUUGUCCGGAAUUAUUGGGCGUAAAGAGCUCGUAGGUGGUUUGUUACGUCUGCUGUGAAAACCUAGGGCUUAACCCUGGGCUUGCAGUGGAUACGGGCAGACUAGAGGUAGGUAGGGGAGAAUGGAAUUCCCGGUGUAGUGGUGGAAUGCGUAGAUAUCGGGAGGAACACCAGUGGCGAAGGCGGUUGCCUGGAGCUUUGCUGACGCUGAUGCGCGAAAGCGUGGGGAGCGAUCCGG
rnacentral:rRNA from 1 species